GAUUUGCUGUUUAAGAAAGAAGUGAAGAGGAUCCUUUUAUUUUCCCAAACGGGGCCUCAUGGAAGUUCCACGUUGCUCCUCCCUGGCCUUCCAUCUCCACUGCACAGUGAGCAGAGCUAGGCUUGUCUGCGGCAGCUCCGCCACGCCCUGUCACCUGCAGUCACUAGUAGUAGGGCCCUAGCUUUUCAUAUCCUAAGUAACUUGGCCACUCUGGAAACAGACCAUAGGAACACCGAGGGCUUCCGAACUGGUCAAAGGAUAUUCCCAAAUCCGGUCCACUGUGGGGCUUGGUCAUUCCCUGGGUAGAUUUUAACUCAGCCCGGAUGAUCCUAUAGUUCUUGCCUCUGUUGCUGUCCCAGUACGUCUGUCCAUUGCACUCGUAGUACACAGCAAACUCCAUUCUUUCAUAAGACUGAAUCUUCUCGGGCAAGCUGAUGUCGAAGGAGAACGUGUCCCUGUCUGAACCGGCAUAAGUGUCCUUCACGUACUGACAAGGAAAGUCUGUGUAGCUCUUCCAGGUGUCGAACGUCAUCCUUAUUUUCACGGUCUUCUCAAAUGCGAGGUUCUGAACCUUCACAGUGCCUGCAAUGGCCUUGUCCUUGAGCACACAGUUCUCAAGGCAGACGUGGUCGGCCUGAAGUCGAUUUCUAAAGUCUAAGUAAUCUGCAGAGGGCUGGGAAAAAUCCAGAACAAAGCUCUCGCUCUCUGCUGUCGUCAAGCUCACAAUGUUGUCUAGGAGCUCGGUGAUGUUGAAUGGGAUAUCUAGCGGGUCAUCGAAUUCCGAGAACACUUUGACCAUUGUCAGGGCCAGCCCCUGGUUGUCUGCGAAGGACACCCGCUUUUUCACCUUCUUCUCCUGGACAGCCGGCGCCACCAUUCCACUGGCUUCAUUCUUGCUGCUCAGCUGAAUACAAGGCCUCAGUGGUUUGCUGGGCUUUGGUGAGAUCUUAAAGGCAAACCUCUCUCGGCGCAAGGAAGGAGCCAUGCAGUUGUAUCUGUACUCGAUGUCCACAGCCAUCAUGGGGCUAGAUGAACAGGCUAGAACCCUGGAAAGGGAAGAGAAGAAAGAAAACAGUGGAGCAAUCAGAUCAGACAGAUGUGUAAAGGCAUCAUUCCAGCAGGGACUGGCAAACAAUAUUUCCUUUUAUCUAUGCCCACAUGGCUACAGCCUACUCAACGUGAAGAGGAUGAGAAUGACGACCUUUAUGAUGACCCACAUCCACUUAAUGAACAGUAAAUAUAUUUUCUCUUUC
rnacentral:lncRNA from 1 species